rnacentral:rRNA from 1 species
GACGAACGCUGGCGGCGUGCUUAACACAUGCAAGUCGAACGGAAAGGCCCUGCUUGCAGGGUGCUCGAGUGGCGAACGGGUGAGUAACACGUGGGUGAUCUGCCCCGUACUUUGGGAUAAGCCUGGGAAACUGGGUCUAAUACUGGAUAGGACCAUGCUGUAGGUGGUGUGGUGGAAAGAUUAGUUUCGGUAAGGGAUGAGCUCGCGGCCUAUCAGCUUGUUGGUGGGGUAAUGGCCUACCAAGGCGUCGACGGGUAGCCGGCCUGAGGGGGUGGACGGCCCCAUUGGGACUGCGAUACGGCCCAGCCUCCUACGGGAGGCAGCAGUGGGGAAUAUUGCAAAAUGGGCGCACGCCUGAUGCAGCGACGCCGCGUGGGGGAUGACGGCCUUCGGGUUGUAACCUCCUUUCAGCCAUGACGAAGCCCUUGUGGUGACGGUAGUGGUAGAAGAAGCACCGGCUAACUACGUG